rnacentral:rRNA from 1 species
AUUGAACGCUGGCGGCAGGCCUAACACAUGCAAGUCGAACGAGUGGCGGACGGGUGAGUAAUGUCUGGGAAACUGCCUGAUGGAGGGGGAUAACUACUGGAAACGGUAGCUAAUACCGCAUACCAUCAGAUGUGCCCAGAUGGGAUUAGCUUGUUGGGGGGGUAACGCCUCACCAAGGCGCAGAUCCCUAGCUGGUCUGAGAGGAUGACCAGCCACACUGGAACUGAGAAACGGUCCAGACCCCGAGUGGAGGCAGCAGUGGGGAAUAUUGCACAAUGGGCGCAAGCCUGAUGCAGCCAUGCCGCGUGUAUGAAGAAGGCCUUCGGGUUGUAAAGUACUUUCAGCGGGGAGGCGUUACCCGCAGAAGAAGCACCGGCUAACUCCGUGCCAGCAGCCGCGUAAUUC